GUCAUGUCCUCAUCUUCCAAUACUUUUUGGCAAAUGGGAACACACUGAAACCUCCAGAUUGAUAACGUCUGCAUAAAUAUGCAUCAGGGUAAGGAUAACUUCACUCAAAGACAUGUAUUGUUCUGUACAGUCAGUACAGAAGAGGUCAGUAACGGAAAUGACUGCAUCUUGCAGAGUAUUUUUGUUCACCCUUGGUGAGCUUUAACCUACCAGAAUGGGCCUUUUGUUUUCAGGAACGUUGGGGGACUAAGAGGACGUCUGGCUUUGGGCCGAGGCCGAGCCUUCUUCCAUGGGAGAACGACUGCUUGUUUGUUAACGCCAGAAAGCUCCCACGUGGUGAAAGGAACUCCGAUAAGCUUUUUCAUUGAACCGAAUGACAACGGGCCUCUCCUCUGUCACAAGCGAGCGCGCGUGCGUGCGUGUGUGCGUGGCGACCUCUCUGUAAUCCUCACAACAGCAAUAUCAUCCGG
ensembl:lncRNA